rnacentral:lncRNA from 1 species
GUAUCGAGCAUAUAGACACUGUAUCUGUAUGGUGCCAAUAUGGAGAUUGGUACCAAGAUUACAAAAUUUGGACAAAAUACCAUGUCAUGGUACUUUUAUUGUUAAACAUCAAAAAGUCGCCAAAGAUACAAUUAGAAGUGGACAAGAUGUGUGUGAAUACACUGUGAAAACUUCGAAUCUUUUGGAAGUAGUAUAUUUGUUGUUGAACUCAAAACUUAAAAAGGAUAUAUAUCAAGUGGCAAGAUGCCAACCACCCAUUUGACCAUAUUCUUUUUUCUAAAAGCUAUAGUGUUGAUAAAAUGGGAGAAGUAUUUUUUUCAUAAAAAGUGGUCACUAAUGAAAGCUAUAACACAAGGUAAAUCCAAAAAAUGGAAGCUUUGCAAACUACGAUGUAAGAAGAAUUUUAUUAGACAAUAGAAGAUUUGCAGACAUCUUGUUCUACGAGGUAUUCCAGAAAAUAGAGUUACCAAUAGAUUGGUUAGGGAGGAUUGGCUCUUUCUUAGUCGAUUUUUCCAAAGAUCUUAUACUUGUGGAAGGAGUGCUUACUCUCUUGGUCACUACAAGUCGAAAAACUCAGUAGGUGACUGCCAUACUCGACUUCCUGGCCGUGAAAGUUCCAUCGGCAUAUAACGCUAUUCUUGGUCAGCGUGGCUUAAAUACGAUACGAACCAUGGUAUCAAUCUACCACCUCAUGAUGAGAUUCUCUACCGGCAAUAG